rnacentral:rRNA from 1 species
AGAGUUUGAUCAUGGCUCAGGAUGAACGCUAGCGGCAGGCUUAAUACAUGCAAGUCGGGGGGCAGCGGGGGUAGCAAUACCUGCCGGCGACCGGCAAACGGGUGCGGAACACGUACAGAACCUUCCUUUAAGUGGGGGAUAGCCCGGAGAAAUCCGGAUUAAUACCCCAUAGCAUUAUGAGACGGCAUCGUUUUAUAAUUAAAGAUUAAUUGCUUAAAGAUGGCUGUGCGUCUGAUUAGGUAGUUGGUGCGGGUAACGGCCCACCAAGCCUUCGAUCAGUAACUGGUGUGAGAGCACGACCAGUCACACGGGCACUGAGACACGGGCCCGACUCCUACGGGAGGCAGCAGUAAGGAAUAUUGGUCAAUGGACGCAAGUCUGAACCAGCCAUGCCGCGUGAAGGAUGAAGGUCCUCUGGAUUGUAAACUUCUUUUAUAGGGGACGAAACCCGGGUAAUCUUAUCCGAUUGACGGUACCCUAGGAAUAAGCACCGGCUAACUCCGUGCCAGCAGCCGCGGUAAUACGGAGGGUGCAAGCGUUAUCCGGAUUCACUGGGUUUAAAGGGUGCGUAGGUGGGUCUGUAAGUCAGUGGUGAAAUCUCCGGGCUCAACCCGGAAACUGCCAUUGAUACUAUAGAUCUUGAAUUUUCCGGAGGUAAGCGGAAUAUGUCUGUAGCGGUGAAAUGCUUAGAUAUGACAUAGAACACCGAUUGCGAAGGCAGCUUACUACAGGAACAUUGACACUGAGGCACGAAAGCGUGGGGAUCAAACAGGAUUAGAUACCCUAGUAGUCC